AUUAUGUUAUAUAAUUGCUUGUUUUAUUAUCCCCCGCUUUGUAAUAAAAAAUAAAAAAAAGUUUGAGAGGCUUUGCUUUAAGGUUAAUUAAACAAUACGGCAGACAAAUACGUCAAUAACGAUUGUCAACAAACAAACAUCGUUUGACUUGUCAAGGGUCAAUGAUACGACCGUGACCGAACGUAACGACUCCGAUGGCGACGACAAGCAAGUCGGUGACGUGCGUAAACGCUAUUGUGUCUCCUAAUUAGCAAUUAGCCGCUGCGAAGCGUGCAAAUGGAGCUGCUCUACGGGAUAUUGCACCUGCGAAGAGAACCAUGAAAAGCCUCUGUCGUGGCUAAUAAUAUCUGCCGAAGCUAUUGAUUCGUGCGCAGCGAGCUCUUUGUGAAUGAAAACCGCAGACACGUUGCAAGCAUGCAGCAGACUUGCAUAAGGAUGGUGGUAAGCAGCGAAUGACAAUGACUGCAACGCCAUGCUGUUUCCACUGAUUAUUCACGCUUGUUCGCGGUUGCAUUCUGGUGCGCACGUGCGACUGGGCGAACAGAGAAUGCACAUGUCGACCAUAUGGUCACGCAUAAAACGUAUGCAAGAAAUACAAGGUCACUACCCCCUACGCACAAAAUCGACGCAAUUUUGUCACUUUAAGAAAAAUGCAUUCUUAAUAUCCGUGCGCUUUCUUCGCGCUUUUCUCACGC